rnacentral:rRNA from 1 species
UACGGAGGGUGCAAGCGUUACCCGGAAUCACUGGGCGUAAAGGGCGUGUAGGCGGGAACUUAAGUCUGGUUUUAAAGACUGGGGCUCAACCCCGGGGAUGGACUGGAUACUGGGUUUCUAGACCUCUGGAGAGAUACUCGGAAUUUCUGGUGUAGCGGUGGAAUGCGUAGAUACCAGAAGGAACACCGAUGGCGAAGGCAGA